rnacentral:rRNA from 1 species
AUCAACGCUGCGGCGUGCCUAACACAUGCAAGUCGAACGCUGAAAGUCCCACAAGGGAUCAGUAGAGUGGCAAACGGGUGAAGUAACACGGUGGGUGACUCUGCCUUCGAGUGGGGGAUAACGUCCCGAAAGGGGACGCUAAUACCGCAUGACAUCCUGCCGUUGAACCGGUGGUGAUCAUAGCUGGGUCGAAUCGCAAGACCUAGGCGCUUGAAAGAGGUGGCCCGCGCCCGAUUAGCUAGUUGGUGAGGUAACGGCUCAUCCAAGGCGACGAUCGGUAGCACGGUCCUGAGAGGGGCGGGACGGCCACACUGGGACUGAGACACGGCCCAGACUCCUACGCGUGAGGGCAGCAGUCGGGGGAAUUGUUCGCAAUGGGCGCAAGCCUGACGACGCAACGCCGCGUGGAGGAUGAAGAUCUUCGGUGUCGUUAAACUCCUUUCGAUCGAGACGAAUUCCCCGGGGAUGAACAAUAUCUCUGGGGUUGACGGGUACCGAGAGAAGAAGCCCCGGCUAACUCCGUGCCAGCAGCCGAGCGGUAAGGGUACUACGGGCGGGGGCAAGCGUUGUUCGGAAUUACUGGGCGUAAAGGGCUCGUAGGCGGCCAACUAGAGUCGGACGGUGAAAUCCCUCGGCUUAACCGGGGAACUGGCGUCCCGAUACUGGAUGGCUUGAAUCCGGGAGAGGGAUGCGGAAAUUUCCAGGGUUGUAGCGGUGAAAUAUGCGUAGAUUAUCUGGAGGGAACACCGGGUGGCGAAGGCGGCAUCCUGGACCGGCAUUGACGCUGAGGAGGCCGAAAAGCCAGGGGAGGCAAACGGGAUUAGAUACCCCGGUAGUCCUGGCCUCUAAACGAUGAAUGCUUGGUGUGGCGGGUAUCGAUCCCUGCCGUGCCGAAGCUAACGCAUUAAGCAUUCCGCCUGGGGGAGUACGUGUCGCAAGGCUUGAACUCAAAGGAAUUGACGGGGGCCCGCACAAGCGGUGGAGCAUGUGGUUCAAUUCGACGCAACGCGAAGAACCUUACCCAGGCUUGACACAGCGAGUGACCAUCGACGAAAGUCGACUUCCGCAAGGACACUCGUAGAGGUGCUGACAUGGCUGUCAGUCAGCUCGUGUCGUGAGAUGUUGGGUUAAGUCCCGCAACGAGCGCAACCCUUGUUUGCUGUUGCCAUCAGGUUAUGCGGGGCACUCUGCAAAGACUGCCGGUGAUAAACCGGAGGAAGGUGGGGAUGACGUGCAAGUCAGCAUGGCCUUUAUGUCUGGGGCUACACACGUGCUACAAUGGCCGGUACAAACCGUCGCGAUACCGCACAGGUGGAGGCUAAUCGGAGAAAGCCGGUCUCAGUUCGGAUAGUAGCAGGCAUGCCAACUCGCCUGCUUGAAGUUGGAAUCGCUUAGUAAUCGCGGAUCAGCACGCCGCGGUGAAUACGUUCCCGGGCCCUUGUACACACCGCCCGUCACAUCACGAAAGCCGGUUGUACUAGAAGUCGCCAUACCAACCCGCAAGGGAGGAAGGCGCCUAAGGUAUGGUCGGUGAUUGGGGUG